GAUGAACGCUAGCGGCAGGCUUAACACAUGCAAGUCGAGGGGUAACAGGGUUGCUUGCAACCGCUGACGACCGGCGUACGGGUGCGUAACGCGUAUAGAACCUACCUUAUAGUUAGGGAUAGCCCAGAGAAAUUUGGAUUAAUACCUAAUAGUAUCUUAAGUGAGCCUUCACUAUGGAUUAAAGAUUUAUUGCUAUAAGAUGGCUAUGCGUUCUAUUAGCUAGUUGGUAUGGUAACGGCAUACCAAGGCUACGAUAGAUAGGGGUCCUGAGAGGGAGAUCCCCCACACUGGUACUGAGACACGGACCAGACUCCUACGGGAGGCAGCAGUGAGGAAUAUUGGACAAUGGAGGCAACUCUGAUCCAGCCAUGCCGCGUGUAGGAAGACUGCCCUAUGGGUUGUAAACUACUUUUUAUAGAGGAAGAAACCGUUCCACGAGUGGAACUCUGACGGUACUCUACGAAUAAGGAUCGGCUAACUCCGUGCCAGCAGCCGCGG
rnacentral:rRNA from 1 species